rnacentral:rRNA from 1 species
AGUUGUUGUGGUUAAAAAGCUCGUAGUUGGAUCUCGGCGGACUGAGGGCGGUUUGCUUGCUAGUAUUACUGCCCUAUAGUCCGUAGUUUUGCCAGAGGUUUCGGGGUGCUCUUAAUCGAGUGUCCCGGGAUGCUGGCAGGUUUACUUUGAAUAAAUUAGAGUACUCAAAGCAGGCUAUUACGCCUGAAUAUUCGUGCAUGGAAUAAUAGAAUAGGAAGUCGUUUCUAUUUUGUUGGUUUUCGGAAAUCGACUUAAUGAUUAAUAGGGACAGUCGGGGGCAUUUGUAUUCAAACGACAGAGGUGAAAUUCUUGGACCGUUUGAAGACAAACUACUGCGAAAGCAUUUGCCAAGAAUGUUUUCAUUAAUCAAGAACGAAAGUUAAAGGUUCGAAGGCGAUUAGAUACCGCCCUAGUUUUAACCAUAAACGAUGCCAGCUAGCGAUCUGCGGACGUUUUUUUUGUAGACUCCGCAGGAAGCUUCCGGGAAACCAAAGCAUUUGGGUUCCAGGGGAAGUAUGGUUGCAAAGCUGAAACUUAAAGGAAUUGACCGAAAGGCACCACCAGGAGUGGAGCCUGUGGCUUAAUUUGACU